UUGAUCCUGGCUCAGAAUCAACGCUGGCGGCGUGCCUAACACAUGCAAGUCGAACGCGAAAGUGGAGCAAUCCAUGAGUAGAGUGGCAAACGGGUGAGUUACACGUAGGUGACCUGCCUUCGAGCGGGGGAUAACGUCCCGAAAGGGACUCUAAUACCGCAUAACAUCCUGCCUUUUAAGAGGUGGAGAUCAAAGCCGGUGAUUCGCAAGAACCUGGCACUUGAAGAGGGGCCCGCGCCUGAUUAGCUAUUUGGUGGGGUAAUGGCCUACCAAGGCAACGAUCAGUAUCCGGCCUGAGAUGGCGGACGGACACACUGGGACUGAGACACGGCCCAGACUCCUACGGGAGUCAGCAGUAGGGAAUUGUUCGCAAUGGGCGCAAGCCUGACGACGCAACGCUGCGUGGAGGAUGAAGACCUUCGGGUCGUAAACUCCUUUCGAUCGAGACGUAUGUUUUUCGGGUGAAUACUCCGGAAAGGUGACGGUACCGAGAGAAGAAUCCCCGGCUAACUCUGUGCCAGCAGCCGCGGUAAUAAGGU
rnacentral:rRNA from 1 species